rnacentral:rRNA from 1 species
GAUGAACGCUGGCGGCGUGCCUAAUACAUGCAAGUCGAGCGAACAGACGAGGAGCUUGCUCCUCUGACGUUAGCGGCGGACGGGUGAGUAACACGUGGAUAACCUACCUAUAAGACUGGUAUAACCUCGGGAAACCGGAGCUAAUACCGGAUAAUAUCUUGCACCGCAUGGUUCAAUAGUGAAAGACGGUUUUGCUGGCACUUAUAGAUGGAUCUGCGCCGCAUUAGCUAGUUGGUAAGGUAACGGCUUACCAAGGCGACGAUGCGUAGCCGACCUGAGAGGGUGAUCGGCCACACUGGAACUGGGACACGGUCCAGACUCCUACGGGAGGCAGCAGUAGGGAAUCUUACGCAAUGGGCGAAAGCCUGACGGAGCAACGCCACGUGAGUGAUGAAGGUCUUCGGAUCGUAAAGCUCUGUUAUUAGGGAAGAACAAAUGUGUAAGUAAAUAUGCACGUAUUGACGGUACCUAAUCAGAAAGCCACGGCUAACUACGUG